GCAGUGGUGGCUCAGUGGUAGAAUUCUUGCCUCCCGUGGAGGAGACCAGGGUUCGAUUCCCGGCCAAUGCG
rnacentral:tRNA from 1 species